UACGGAGGAUGCAAGCGUUAUCCGGAUUUAUUGGGUUUAAAGGGUGCGUAGGCGGCCGAGUAAGUCAGCGGUGAAAUUUUGCAGCUUAACUGUAACAGUGCCGUUGAUACUGCAUGGCUAGGAUUUGGUUGCUGUUGGUGGAAUGUGUGGUGUAGCGGUGAAAUGCUUAGAUAUCACACAGAAUAUCAAUUGCGAAGGCAGCUCACAAAGCCAAGAUUGACGCUGAGGCACGAAAGUGUGGGGAUCAAACA
rnacentral:rRNA from 1 species